ensembl:lncRNA novel transcript
GCUGCUGCAGCAGAGCCCUCUGCAGACCUUUGGCCAUGCUCUCAUUACGCUUGAUUGCCAUUGACAGCUUGAUGUAAGUCAGACAGAGUUUCGCUCUUAUUGCCCAGGCUGCAGUGCAAUGGCAUGACCUCGGCUCACUGCAACCUCUGCCUCCCAGGUUCAAGCAAUUCUCCUGCCUCAGCCUCCCAAGUAGCUGGGUUUACAGGCAUGCACCACCACACCCGGCUAUUUUGUAUUUUUAGUAGAGACGGGGUUUCUCCAUGUUGGUCAGGCUGGUCUGGAACUCUCAACCUUAGGUGAUCUGCCUGCCUUGGCCUUCCAAAGUGCUGGGAUUACAGGCGUGAACAAAUAGAAGCUGAGGGUGAAGGACCUACAGCUGUCACCUUCAUCUCUUCUCAACACUGCCAACUGUCCCCUUGGAUUUCCCAGACAGACAACAAGGGACAUCUCUGGUUUCUCGGUGCCCCCUAGAAACCUCGGGUCAUUUCAAGGCAUUAUGCAAAUGAGAAGCUUUCCUUCUCUUCACCUCAUCUCCUGAUCUGCACAAAAGUGACUGUAGGACCCAGUGUUGUAGAUGAGCAUGAGAGUGUGGAGCAGAGUUGGCGAGUGCAAGUCGAGCCCAUCAACCUGGACAGCUGUCUCCGUGCUUUCACCAGUGAGGAAGAGCUAGGGGAAGAUGAGAUGUACUACUGUUCCAAGUGUAAGACCCACUGCUUAGCAACAAAGAAGCUGGAUCUCUGGAGGCUUCCACCCUUCCUGAUUAUUCACCUUAAGUGAUUUCAAUUUGUAAAUGAUCAGUGGAUAAAAUCACAGAAAAUUGUCAAAUUUCCUCGGGAAAGUUUUGAUCCGAGUGCUUUUUUGGUACCACGAGACCCAGCUCUCUGCCAGCAUCAACCACUCACACCCCAGGGGGAUGAGCUCUCCAAGCCCAGGAUUCUGGCAAGAGAGGUGAAGAAAGUGGAUGUGCAGAGUUUGGCUGGGGAAGAGGACAUGCUCCUGAGCAAAAGCCCAUCCUCACUCAGCGCUAACAUCAGCAGCAGCCCAAAAGGUUCUCCUUCUUCAUCAAGAAAAAGUGGAACCAGCUGUCCCUCCAGCAAAAACAGCAGCCCUAAUAGCAGCCCACGGACUUUGGGGAGGAGCAAAGGGAGGCUCCGGCUGCCCCAGAUUGGCAGCAAAAAUAAACUGUCAAGUAGUAAGAAGAACUUGGAUGCCAGCAAAGAGAAUGGGGCUGGGCAGAUCUGUGAGCUGGCUGACGCCUUGAGCCGAGGGCAUAUGCGGUGGGGGCAGCCAACCAGAGCUGGUCACUCCUCAGGACCACGAGGUAGCUUUGGCCAAUGGAUUCCUUUAUGAGCAUGAAGCAUGUGGCAAUGGCUACAGCAAUGGUCAGCUUGGAAACCACAGUGAAGAAGACAGCACUGAUGACCAAAGAGAAGACACUCAUAUUAAGCCUAUUUAUAAUCUAUAUGCAAUUUCAUGCCAUUCAGGAAUUCUGAGUGGGGGCCGUUACGUCACUUAUGCGAAAAACCCAAACUGCAAGUGGUACUGCUACAAUGGCAGCAUCUGUGAGGAACGUCACCCUGAUGAAAUUGACACCGACUCUGCCUACAUUCUUUUCUAUGAGCAGCAGAGGAUAGACUACGCACAAUUUCUGCCAAAGAUUGAUGGCAAAAAGAUGGCAGACACAAGCAGUAUGGAUGAAGACUUUGAGUCUGAUUACAAAAAGUACUGUGUGUUACAGUAAAGCUACCACUCUGGCUGCUAGACAGCUUGGUUGGGAGGAAGAUGACUCCUUGUAGCUGAUACUUGGCAAAAGUGUCACUGAGAGAGGGGAUGCUUCAUCUCUGAGGUUGGAAACUCUGUAGAGCAGGAUUCCCCAACUCCUGGGCUACAGACCAGCACCGUCCAUGGCCUGUUAGGAACCGGGCUGCACAGCAGCAGGAAUACCUGUUAGCAUCCUGCAGAACCAAUGUUUUGUGUAAUCCGUGGUGGGGAAAGCUGCUUGGGAAGAUUAGAAAUGCUCAACACCAGGCCCUCUGCUCGGCUCCUGGCACAUGCAUCGUGGACACCAGGAAGCAUGAGUGCCUGUUGCAUUUCUUCCUAAUGUCAGUCCUCAGAGUACAGCAAGUGGAAGUUCACCAACAGCCCCACGUUCCUGGAGUUGCUGGAGGAGUUCCCAUCCCUGCAGGUGUCUGCUGGCUUCCUGCUCUCCCUGCUCCCCAUUCUGAAGCCCAGGUUUUACUCCAUCAGCUCCUCCCAGGAUCACACGCCCACAGCGAUCCACCUGACUGUGGCCGUGCUCAUGUACCACACUCGAGAUGGCCAGGGUCCCCUGCACCACGGCGUCUGCGGCACAUGGCUCAACAACUGAAGCCCCAAGACCAAGUGUCCUGCUUUGUGCGGAACGCCAGCGGCUUCCGGCUCCCCGAGGACCCCUCCCAUCCUCGUGUCCUCAUCGGGCCUGGCACAGGCAUCCCUCCCUUCCUCAGUUUCUGGCAGCAGCGGCUCCAUGACUCCCAGCAAAAGGGAGUGCAGGGAGGCCGCAUGACCCCGGUGUUCGAGUGCCGCAGCCCAAAUGAGGACCACAUCUACCAGGAGGAGAUGCUGGAGAUGGCUCGGAAGGGGGUGCUGCCUGCGGUGCCCACAGCCUAUUCCUGCCUGCCUGGCAAGCCCAAGAGCCAGAAGCACUUCCAUGACGAUAUCUUUGGUGCUGUAUUUCCCUACGAGGCAAAGAAGGACAGGGCGGCGGUGCAGCCCAGCAGCCUGGAGAUGUCAGCACUCUGAGGGCCCACAGGAGGGGUUAAAGCUGCCAGCACAGAACUUAACGAUGGAGCCAGCUCUGCAUUAUCCGAGGUCACAGGGCCUGGGGAGAUGGAGGAAAGUGAUAUCCCCCAGCCUCACGUCUUAUUUCUCACCUCGUUCCCCAUCAAGCCCUUUACUUGACCUCCUACCAAGUAGCACCCUGGAUUGAUCGGAGCCUCCUCUCUCAAGCUGGGGCCUCCCUGGUCCCUUGGAGACGAAAUCUUCAAUGCCAGGCCUGGCAAGUGGGUGAAAGAUGGAACCCGCUGCUGAGUGCACCACUUCAAGUGACCACCAGGAAGUGCCGUCACACCACUGUGUAUUUAACUGCCAUGGGUACAAUUAUUUAUGCCUCUGUUUAAAAAACGAACACCCUAGUCUGUUCCUAAUGGCCCCUUGGGUCUUCUCUGUAUGAUUCCCUGAUGGAGAUAUUUACA